rnacentral:rRNA from 1 species
UUGGAGGGCAAGUCUGGUGCCAGCAGCCGCGGUAAUUCCAGCUCCAAUAGCGUAUAUUAAAGUUGUUGCAGUUAAAAAGCUCGUAGUUGAAUUUCGGGAUCAAGGAAUCGGUCAUGCCUCGGUAUGUACUGGUUUUAUUGGUUCUCACCUUCUAAAGAACCAUAAUGUCAUUUAUUUGAUGUUAUGGGGAAUUAGGACUGUUACCUUGAAAAAAUUAGAGUGUUUAAAGCAAGCUCACGCUUGAAUACAUUAGCAUGGAAUAAUGAAAUAGGACAUCCGAUUCUAUUUUGUUGGUCUCUAGGAUCGAUGUAAUGAUUAAUAGGGAUAGUUGGGGGCAUUAGUAUUCAAUUGUCAGAGGUGAAAUUCUUGGAUUUAUUGAAGACUGACUACUGCGAAAGCAUUUGCCAAGGAUGUUUUCAUUAAUCAAGAACGAAAGUUAGGGGAUCGAAGACGAUCAGAUACCGUCGUAGUCUUAACCAUAAACUAUGCCGACUAGGGAUCGGAUGAUGUUUAUUUUUUAGUGACUCAUUCGGCACCUUACGGGAAACCAAAGUGUUUGGGUUC